GACGAACGCUGGCGGCGUGCUUAACACAUGCAAGUCGAACGGAAAGGCCCUGCUUUUGUGGGGUGCUCGAGUGGCGAACGGGGGAGUAAAACGUGAGUAACCUGCCCUUGACUGUGUGAUAACUUCAGGAAACUGGGGCUAAUACAGGAUAGGAGCUCCUGCUGCAUGGGGGGGGUUGGAAAGUUUCGGCGGUUGGGGAUGGACUGGCGGCUUAUCAGCUUGUUGGUGGGGUAGUGGCUUACCAAGGCUUUGAAGGGUAGCCGGCCUGAGAGGGUGACCGGCCACAUUGGGACUGAGAUACGGCCCAGACUCCUACGGGAGGCAGCAGUGGGGAAUAUUGCACAAUGGGCGGAAGCCUGAUGCAGCAACGCCGCGUGCGGGAUGACGGCCUUCGGGUUGUAAACCGCUUUCGCCUGUGACGAAGCGUGAGUGACGGUAAUGGGUAAAGAAGCACCGGCUAACUACGUG
rnacentral:rRNA from 1 species